rnacentral:rRNA from 1 species
AUUGAACGCUGGCGGCAUGCUUUACACAUGCAAGUCGAACGGUAACAGGCCGCAAGGUGCUGACGAGUGGCGAACGGGUGAGUAAUGCAUCGGAACGUGCCCAGUCGUGGGGGAUAACUGCUCGAAAGAGCAGCUAAUACCGCAUACGAUCUAUGGAUGAAAGCGGGGGGCCGGAAGGCCUCGCGCGAUUGGAGCGGCCGAUGGCAGAUUAGGUAGUUGGUGGGGUAAAGGCUCACCAAGCCAAAGAUCUGUAGCUGGUCUGAGAGGACGACCAGCCACACUGGGACUGAGACACGGCCCAGACUCCUACGGGAGGCAGCAGUGGGGAAUUUUGGACAAUGGGGGCAACCCUGAUCCAGCAAUGCCGCGUGCAGGAAGAAGGCCUUCGGGUUGUAAACUGCUUUUGUACGGAACGAAACGGUCUGGGUUAAUACCCUGGGCUAAUGACGGUACCGUAAGAAUAAGCACCGGUUAACUACGUGCCAGCCGCCGCAGUAACAC